ACAGUCCUGUAAUGUUUGUGACCACAUAAAAAACUGAACAAAUAUAGAUUUGGUAUGCCAAUAUACAACCUGAAUGAUAUGCUCAUAGUAAGCCUGAGAUUACGAGAAGGGAAGUUGAGGCAAUCCACCUGGAGCAAGUUCAGGUUUUCUAUACGGUUACGGCAUGGCGGGACUACA
rnacentral:other from 1 species